AACGAACGCUGGCGGCAUGCCUAACACAUGCAAGUCGAACGAGACCUUCGGGCCUAGUGGCGCACGGGUGCGUAACGCGUGGGAACCUGCCUUUAGGUUCGGAAUAACUCAGAGAAAUUUGAGCUAAUACCGGAUGAUGUCUUCGGACCAAAGAUUUAUCGCCUUUAGAUGGGCCCGCGUUGGAUUAGCUAGUUGGUGGGGUAAAGGCCUACCAAGGCGACGAUCCAUAGCUGGUCUGAGAGGAUGAUCAGCCACACUGGGACUGAGACACGGCCCAGACUCCUACGGGAGGCAGCAGUGGGGAAUAUUGGACAAUGGGCGAAAGCCUGAUCCAGCAAUGCCGCGUGAGUGAUGAAGGCCUUAGGGUUGUAAAGCUCUUUUACCCGAGAUGAUAAUGACAGUAUCGGGAGAAUAAGCUCCGGCUAACUCCGUG
rnacentral:rRNA from 1 species